CACCGCGUAGCUCAGUUGGAAGAGCAUUGGGCUAGUAUUCCAAAGGUAGUAGGUUCGAAUCCCACCGUGGCCG
rnacentral:tRNA from 1 species